CCAGUCACGUCCCCUUAUCACUUUUCCAGCCCAACUUUGUGACUGUAAGUGUUGGACGGAGAACUGAUAAGGGUAGGUGACUGA
rnacentral:pre_miRNA from 1 species